rnacentral:rRNA from 1 species
UACGUAGGGUGCAAGCGUUAAUCGGAAUUAUUGGGCGUAAAGAGCUCGUAGGCGGUUCGUCGCGUCGGCUGUGAAAUCCCGAGGCUCAACCUCGGGUCUGCAGUCGAUACGGGCGGACUGGAGUUCGGCAGGGGAGACUGGAAUUCCUGGUGUAGCGGUGAAAUGCGCAGAUAUCAGGAGGAACACCGGUGGCGAAGGCGGGUCUCUGGGCCGAUACUGACGCUGAGGAGCGAAAGCGUGGGGAGCGAACAGG